GCCACCGUAGCUCAGUUGGUAGAGCAGCGGUUUUGUAAACCGCAGGUCAACGGUUCGAGUCCGUUCGGUGGCU
rnacentral:tRNA from 1 species